UUACGGCCACAUCACGCUGAAAUAUCGGUUCUCAUAUGAUCACCGAAUUUAAGCAAAGUCGAGUUUGGCCAGUACCUAGAUGAGUGACCGUUUCGGAAUACUAGGUGCUGCAAG